UACAGAGGGUGCGAGCGUUGUUCGGAAUUAUUGGGCGUAAAGCGCUUGUGGGCGGCACGUCAAGUCGCGUGUGAAAUCCCCAGGCUUAACCUGGGAAGUGCGCGCGAAACUGACGAGCUUGAGUGCCGGAGAGGGUCGCGGAAUUCCCGGUGUAGAGGUGAAAUUCGUAGAUAUCGGGAGGAACACCAGUGGCGAAGGCGGCGACCUGGACGGACACUGACGCUGAGACGCGAAAGCGUGGGGAGCAAACAGG
rnacentral:rRNA from 1 species